CAUAGGUUAAUGAGGCGAACCGGGGGAACUGAAACAUCUAAGUACCCCGAGGAAAAGAAAUCAACCGAGAUUCCCCCAGUAGCGGCGAGCGAACGGGGAGGAGCCCAGAGCCUGAAUCAGUGUGUGUGUUAGUGGAAGCGUCUGGAAAGGCGCGCGAUACAGGGUGACAGCCCCGUACACAAAAAUGCACAUACUGUGAGCUCGAUGAGUAGGGCGGGACACGUGGUAUCCUGUCUGAAUAUGGGGGGACCAUCCUCCAAGGCUAAAUACUCCUGACUGACCGAUAGUGAACCAGUACCGUGAGGGAAAGGCGAAAAGAACCCCGGCGAGGGGAGUGAAA
rnacentral:rRNA from 1 species